rnacentral:rRNA from 9 species
CCUGAUGCAGCAACGCCGCGUGAGGGACGAAGGCCUUCGGGUUGUAAACCUCUUUUAGUAGGGAAGAAGCGAAAGUGACGGUACCUGCAGAAAAAGCACCGGCUAACUACGUGCCAGCAGCCGCGGUAAUACGUAGGGUGCAAGCGUUGUCCGGAAUUAUUGGGCGUAAAGAGCUCGUAGGCGGUUUGUCGCGUCUGCUGUGAAAACUGGAGGCUCAACCUCCAGCCUGCAGUGGGUACGGGCAGACUAGAGUGCGGUAGGGGAGAUUGGAAUUCCUGGUGUAGCGGUGGAAUGCGCAGAUAUCAGGAGGAACACCGAUGGCGAAGGCAGAUCUCUGGGCCGUAACUGACGCUGAGGAGCGAAAGCAUGGGGAGCGAACAGGAUUAGAUACCCUGGUAGUCCAUGCCGUAAACGUUGGGAACUAGAUGUAGGGGCCAUUCCACGGUUUCUGUGUCGCAGCUAACGCAUUAAGUUCCCCGCCUGGGGAGUACGGCCGCAAGGCUAAAACUCAAAGGAAUUGACGGGGGCCCGCACAAGCGGCGGAGCAUGCGGAUUAAUUCGAUGCAACGCGAAGAACCUUACCAAGGCUUGACAUAUACCGGAAACGGCUAGAGAUAGUCGCCCCGCAAGGUCGG